ACGAACACUGGCGGCGCGCCUAACACAUGCAAGUCGAACGAGCGAGAGAGAGCUUGCUUUCUUGAGCGAGUGGCGAACGGGUGAGUAACGCGUGAGGAACCUGCCUCAAAGAGGGGGACAACAGGGGGAAACGACUGCUAAUACCGCAUAAGCCCACGGUGCCGCAUGGCACAGAGGGAAAAUGAGCAAGCCGCUUUGAGAUGGCCUCGCGUCCGAUUAGCUAGUUGGUGAGGUAACGGCCCACCAAGGCGACGAUCGGUAGCCGGACUGAGAGGUUGAACGGUCACAUUGGGACUCAGACAAGGCCCAGACGGCUGCGAGAAGCAGGGGUGGGGGAUAAUGCAGCGUGGGGGAAACCCUGAUGCAGCGACGCCGCGUGGAGGAAGAAGGUGUUCGGAUUGUAAACUCCUGUUGUUGGGGAAGAUAAUGACGGUACCCAAAAAGGAAGUGACGGCUAACUACGUG
rnacentral:rRNA from 1 species